UACAGAGGUGGCAAGCGUUGUUCGGAAUUACUGGGCGUAAAGAGCUCGUAGGCGGUGUGUCGCGUCGGCCGUGAAAACCUGCAGCUUAACUGUGGGCUUGCGGUCGAUACGGGCAUCACUGGAGUUCGGCAGGGGAGACUGGAAUUCCAGGUGUAGCGGUGAAAUGCGUAGAUAUCAGGAGGAACACCUAUUGCGAAGGCAGCUCGCUGGGACGUAACUGACGCUGAGACGCGAAAGCGUGGGGAGCAAACAGG
rnacentral:rRNA from 1 species